rnacentral:rRNA from 1 species
GACAGAGGGGGCGUCUGUUGUCGGGAUUCUCUGGGCGUAAAGAGCGCGCCGGCGGCAAAAUCAGUGUCGUGUGAAAGCCCCCGGCUCAACCGGGGAGGCCAUGGCAAACUGGGUCGCUCGAGCUGCGGAGAGGCCCCUCGAAUUGCCGGUGUAGCGGUGAAAUGCGUAGAGAUCGGCAGGAAGACCAAGGGGGAAGCCAGGGGGCUGGCCGCAGGCUGACGCUGAGGCGCGACAGCGUUGGGAGUAAUCCGG